rnacentral:hammerhead_ribozyme from 1 species
AUCCACCUGACGAGUCCAAGAUAAAACGAAAAGAGCGUCCUGGAU